rnacentral:rRNA from 1 species
AGUGAACGCUGGCGGUAGGCCUAACACAUGCAAGUCGAACGACCGCACAGUAAGCGCUUGCUCUUACGGGUGGCGGGUGGCGGACGGGUGAGACAUACAUCGCCUACUACUUUUUCUUGGGUGACAUCGGGGGGACGCAUCUGCUACUACCUCAUACGUUCUACGGGUGGAAUCAGAAGAUCUUCGCACCUUGGCCGACUGUUUUAGAUGAUUCCGUGUUGGAUUAGCUAGUUGGUAAGGUAACGGCCUACCAAGGCAACGAUGCGUAGCUGAUCUGAGAGGAUGAUCAGCCACACUGGAACUGAGACACGGUCCAGACUCCUACGGGAGGCAGCAGUGGGGAAUAUUGGACAAUGGGCGAAAGCCUGAUCCAGCCAUACCGCGUGGGUGAUGAAGGCCUUCGGGUUGUAAAGCCCUUUUGUUGGGAAAGAAAAGCAGCAUGUUAAUCCCCCGCUGUUCUGACGGUACCCAAAGAAUAAGCACCGGCUAACUUCGUG